GAACGGCAGCACGGGAGCAAUCCUGGUGGCGAGUGGCGAACGGGUGAGUAAUACAUCGGAACGUGCCCAGUAGUGGGGGAUAGCCCGGCGAAAGCCGGAUUAAUACCGCAUACGACCUACGGGUGAAAGCGGGGGAUCGCAAGACCUCGCGCUAUUGGAGCGGCCGAUGUCAGAUUAGCUAGUUGGUGGGGUAAAGGCCUACCAAGGCGACGAUCUGUAGCUGGUCUGAGAGGACGACCAGCCACACUGGGACUGAGACACGGCCCAGACUCCUACGGGAGGCAGCAGUGGGGAAUUUUGGACAAUGGGGGCAACCCUGAUCCAGCCAUGCCGCGUGCGGGAAGAAGGCCUUCGGGUUGUAAACCGCUUUUGUCAGGGAAGAAACGCUCUGGGCUAAUACCCCGGAGUAAUGACGGUACCUGAAGAAUAAGCACCGGCUAACUACGUGCCAGCAGCCGCGGUAAUACGUAGGGUGCAAGCGUUAAUCGGAAUUACUGGGCGUAAAGCGUGCGCAGGCGGCUUUGCAAGACAGAUGUGAAAUCCCCGGGCUUAACCUGGGAACUGCAUUUGUGACUGCAUGGCUGGAGUGCGGCAGAGGGGGAUGGAAUUCCGCGUGUAGCAUGAAAUGCGUAGAUAUGCGGAGGAACACCGAUGGCGAAGGCAAUCCCCUGGGCCUGCACUGACGCUCAUGCACGAAAGCGUGGGGAGCAAACAGGAUUAGA
rnacentral:rRNA from 1 species